AACGAACGCUGGCGGCAUGCCUAACACAUGCAAGUCGAACGAGACCUUCGGGUCUAGUGGCGCACGGGUGCGUAACGCGUGGGAACCUGCCCUUAGGUUCGGAAUAACUCCCCGAAAGGGGUGCUAAUACCGGAUAAUGUCUUCGGACCAAAGAUUUAUCGCCUUUGGAUGGGCCCGCGUUGGAUUAGCUCGUUGGUAGGGUAAAAGCCUACCAAGGCGACGAUCCAUAGCUGGUCUGAGAGGAUGAUCAGCCACACUGGGACUGAGACACGGCCCAGAAUCCUACGGGAGGCAGCAGUGGGGAAUAUUGGACAAUGGGCGAAAGCCUGAUCCAGCAAUGCCGCGUGAGUGAUGAAGGCCGUAGGGUUGUAAAGCUCUUUUACCCGGGAUGAUAAUGACAGUACCGGGAGAAUAAGCGACGGCUAACUCCGUG
rnacentral:rRNA from 1 species